rnacentral:rRNA from 1 species
UACGGAGGGUGCGAGCGUUAUCCGGAAUUACUGGGUUUAAAGGGUGCGUAGGCGGCUAAGUAAGUCAGGAGUGAAAGCUUGCGGCUCAACCGUAAAAUUGCUUUUGAUACUGCAUAGCUAGAAUUAGGAUGAGGUCAGCGGAAUGUGGCAUGUAGCGGUGAAAUGCAUAGAUAUACCAUAGAACACCAAUUGCGAAGGCAGCUGGCUAGACCUGGAUUGACGCUGAGGCACGAAAGCGUGGGGAGCGAACAGG